CAAGUACCGUGAGGGAAAGGUGAAAAGAACUGAGGUGAUCAGAGUGAAAUAGAACCUGAAACCAUUUGCUUACAAUCAUUCAGAGCACUAUGUAGCAAUACAGUGUGAUGGACUGCCUUUUGCAUAAUGAGCCUGCGAGUUGUGGUGUCUGGCAAGGUUAAGCAAACGCGAAGCCGUAGCGAAAGCGAGUCUGAAUAGGGCGCUUAGUCAGAUGCUGCAGACCCGAAACGAAGUGAUCUAUCCAUGAGCAAGUUGAAGCUAGUGUAAGAACUAGUGGAGGACUGAACCCAUAGGCGUUGAAAAGCCCCGGGAUGACUUGUGGAUAGGGGUGAAAGGCCAAUCAAACUUCGUGAUAGCUGGUUCUCUCCGAAAUAUAUUUAGGUAUAGCGUUGUGUCGUAAUAUAAGGGGGUAGAGCACUGAAUGGGCUAGGGCAUACACCAAUGUACCAAACCCUAUCAAACUCCGAAUACCUUAUAUGUAAUCACAGCAGUCAGGCGGCGAGUGAUAAAAUCCGUCGUCAAGAGGGAAACAACCCAGACUACCAGCUAAGGUCCCUAAAUCUUACUUAAGUGGAAAACGAUGUGAAGUUACUUAAACAACCAGGAGGUUGGCUUAGAAGCAGCCAUCCUUUAAAGAAAGCGUAAUAGCUCACUGGUCUAGUGAUUUUGCGCGGAAAAUAUAACGGGGCUAAAGUAAGUACCGAAGCUGUAGACUUAGUUUACUAAGUGGUAGGAGAGCGUUC
rnacentral:rRNA from 1 species